rnacentral:lncRNA from 1 species
GCCGACAGAAUAAACUUUACUAUAAAAAAAAAUUUAAAAAUGCUUUUUGAUCAAUAUCUCGAUUUACAUAUAUUAUGAUAUGUGUGAUAAAUAUUUAAUUUAAUCCUCAAAAAGGAUGAAAGUCCAAUAUGCGGAAUUUAGGGUGUCUUUAGGUGGGGAAAAACAGGGAAUCCCCCAAGAAGGACAUUUCAAACCAAAAAAAAAGUUAUGUUAUUCGUGACGGUGGCAAUUUAUACUACCUUUUCCCUCAAAAAUGAAAUUGGUUUAGUGUGUCCUUAUUAUAUAUAAAACCCUUUGAUAUACCGACAAUUUACCUGUAAAAUAAUGUUGGCGUUCGAGGAAUAGGUGCUUUGGACUUUGAUGCUUUUUUCAAUAUUUCUAUCGGGUUUUUUUUGUUGUAAUAUCCUCCUAUUUUACUUUAUGUCCAAUUGCUCGAAACUUUGUAUAUUCUCAUACUUUUUUCAUAGCAUAAAAAGAAGAAAAUUUUGAAUAAUAUAUUAUUUGUUUGCUGACAGAGAACACAGAAAACAAUACAUAUAACAUAAGUUAACAUAUAAGC